GUGCAACUGAUUGUUCCUUGAUUGUACCUGCCCACCUAGCUGCUGUGAAGGGACCCAGCUGUUGGAUACCUGGGUGUUAUCCUCCUCCAGAGCCUGAACAUAUCCCAGCCACUUCUACAGGCUUGGGAUACCUAGCCGCUGUCUCAAGAUACAGAUCUUCAAUCUAGCACCCUCAGGGCAUCAGGUUAGCCAGAACCAUGCGUCACCUAGGAUAAGAGGCACUGCAAUCAAAGCUCUCUCUCAUGAGAUUACAAGAGCACCAUUACAGGUUCACCAUCGUCUGCAUCAACAACCUCCACUACAACAGCAUCAGCAUCCAUGACUUUCCAAGAAUUUUGUGGACAACCAGGCAGUUACAGUUAUAAAGUAGCUUUGAUGUCUGUGCCCGAUUUCUCAGGUUUAUUAGGGAAGCAGCCACCAAGUCUAUCUUGAUUACAUUAAGGUAUAUCUUUCUCCUCAGAAGGUUCUUGGUUCUUAUCCAGUUCAGCACUCGAGUCACUAACCCUGCGUAGCAGCUAAAGUUGAUAUGGGGAAGCACUAAAAUGUUUUCAAAUGGUCUGUUUAUCAUGGGUAUUUUAUACAGAAAUGUAAAACUGAUCACAGGAUAACUCAUUCCAUGUAGUUGUAUUAAAGGUAUAUAAGUGGGAUAUUAUCAGUUAUUCUGAAUAAUGGCUCUGUUAAACAGGCUUAAGAAAAGAACACUUAUACAGUAUAUGGAAAGCUAUUUGCACUGGGUACAGCAUUAUUACAAACAUUUCACUUGUUUUAAGAGUAGUAAGCACUUACACUGCAUAUCACGGGCCAGAUUUUUCUGCUGCCAUAACUCCACAGAAAUCAACAGCUGCAAAGUUUUUGGCUAUAGUUUGGCUAAAUAUGUUAUGGAGAUUAACCCUCAACAUCCCUUUGGGAGUUAUGUUGAGCAUUAUCUCUAUUGUACAGCUGAAGUAACCACACAAAUAGGUUUGAUAUUACUUGGUCAAAGGUGGCAGAUGACUCAGACAGGAAAUCAGAAACUACUCACUCCCAACCUGGCCUCUUAGCACUAAAUUUUUGGAUGCUUAACAAUUUGAUCAGUAUGUGUUUGCUCAUCUUGAAUUGACUUACUUAUAUUUUAAUCCAUGAAAGAAGUGUCUAAAUAAAAUGUAUUGAAUGAGGGGGGAACAAGCAUUUUAAUGAAUGUUAAGUUGAUUCGACCAUCCCAUUUAUCAGGUUGCUGGGCAAUGAGGCUGGGUUGUUCUUAACAGAUUACAUGCUUCGUGCUUUUCAUUUUGCAAGGUUCCCCAGUGCAUCACACCAUUAACUGUAUACAUUAUAGAAAUCAACUACACUGCAAAUUGCCAUUUUUUACAGUUCAAGGUAUAUAUCCCUUAAUGCAAAUGACUACUGCAGAUCUGUUCAGUAGUUGUCAACCCCCAAAAAUAAAAAGCUUUAGCUCUGUUAGAACUAAGCAUGUGUUACACAUUGGUAGAGUUUUGUAUCAUUCAUAUGGAAGAUCAUCCUUCUGCAACAUACCCAUUUAAUUUCUGCAAAACAAGGAUAUUAUUCUUGGAAGUUUAGCCAUUUCUCUGUUUCCAUGCUUGAUACAUUAAGGAACUCCUGUGAAGAUUGGCAAACAAUCCCCUAGUUCACGGGCUUUCUGGCUGUAUGAUCUGUCCUGUGCUGAGGAGGCAGCUAUUGCUGUCUCCUACAACUCUGCAAUAUUUCCUUCAGUAUUUGUGGAAGUGUGGGGGGAGAAUGUCACACAUGCCUGGAGGGGAAAAAAGCUUUCAGAGAGCCAACAACUUGGUGUCUGGAGCCCCAGCAUAU